AGCCUUCUGAAUUCGCGCAGUGGUUUCGUCAGACAUCAGAGCAUCAGGACUGAUGAGACUUAAUAUAGAUGAGGCA
rnacentral:pre_miRNA from 1 species